GCCUUCGUGCUGUAGUGGUCAGCAUGCUCGACGCGUAACCGAGAGAUCCGUGGUUCGAUUCCAGGCAAAGACG
rnacentral:tRNA from 1 species